CGUCAAUUGGGAGGGGGGAAGUCUGGUGCCAGCAGCCGCGGUAAUUCCAGCUCCAAUAGCGUAUAUUAAAGUUGUUGCAGUUAAAAAGCUCGUAGUUGAACCUUGGGUCUGGCUGGCCGGUCCGCCUCACCGCGAGUACUGGUCCGGCUGGACCUUUCCUUCUGGGGAACCUCAUGGCCUUCACUGGCUGUGGGGGGAACCAGGACUUUUACUGUGAAAAAAUUAGAGUGUUCAAAGCAGGCCUUUGCUCGAAUACAUUAGCAUGGAAUAAUAGAAUAGGACGUGCGGUUCUAUUUUGUUGGUUUCUAGGACCGCCGUAAUGAUUAAUAGGGAUAGUCGGGGGCGUCAGUAUUCAGCUGUCAGAGGUGAAAUUCUUGGAUUUGCUGAAGACUAACUACUGCGAAAGCAUUCGCCAUGGAUGUUUUCAUUAAUCAGGGAACGAAAGUUAUAGGAUCGAAGACGGAUCAGUUUCUACUCUUUUACUAUGG
rnacentral:rRNA from 1 species